UACGUAGGUGGCAAGCGUUGUCCGGAUUUACUGGGCGUAAAGAGCGCGCAGGCGGUCGCUCAAGUCGCGUGUGAAAGCCCCCGGCUCAACUGGGGAGGGUCACGCGAUACUGAUCGACUGGAAGGCAGGAGAGGGUAGUGGAAUUCCCGGUGUAGUGGUGAAAUGCGUAGAUAUCGGGAGGAACACCAGUGGCGAAGGCGACUACCUGGCCUGUUCUUGACGCUGAGGCGCGAAAGCUAGGGGAGCAAACGGG
rnacentral:rRNA from 1 species